AUGUCAUAUACAGUAUUAACAACAACAAGUGGUCAGUUACAGAACUUGUGUUACUGUAGUGAUGUGUUUCGUGGCUAUGAUGCAGUUGUAAAAGCUCAAUUCUCAGUUGUGGCCUGUCUAGUGUCCAUAAUGGGUGGUUCAUCUCUCUCUAGCCCUAUUCUGAUUGGUCCAGACAAGGCCUACCUGAACUCCAAGGUAGUGUUCCAAUGUAGGUCACCUGGGUCUCCUCCACCAAACACAUAUGAGCUCCUGAAGGACGGCAACCACCUGGUCGCCACGAGCAACGACCUCCAAGACGACCAAUCGGCUACGUUCUUCCUGAAGAUCUCUGUGACGUCAGAAGGAUCGUACCACUGCAGGGUGACGGCAGGUGGGAACAUGGGCCUCAGUGGAACAGUCCGCCUGCAAGUAGUGAUCCCUGUCUCAGGCACUAUGGUGACCUCUGACCCUGAUCCUCCCAUUCUCUACGAGGGGUUGAGGCUCACUCUCACCUGUGAUGUCACCAAGGGCUCCCACCUCUCCUACACCUGGUUCUACAACAGACAGGAAGUGACAUCAUCUCCAACCUCACCUUUGACCCCGCUUCUGCUUUGGCCGGUGGGGAACACGCUGGUGGUGGAGAGGGUCACAGCAAAGCAUGCUGGGAAUUAUUCGUGCAUUGCCGGGACCAGGAUGCAGACCAACAGCAGGUUCUCCAGCAGCAGAGAGGUCACGGUUAGGGUCAAAGCCUAUCUCUCCGUACCCCAGAUAUCCUUCACCAUCUCCAAAGAGGGUUCGAGUUUCUGCGGCAAUGUGACCUGCAUGUCAUCAAGGGGAACCCCUCCCGUGACCUUCUACCUCUUCCUUGACGACAAGGAGGUGGGUUCCGACGUGGCAACGGAGUCGCUGGUUGCCUGGUUCCCUGUUGCCAUGGUUCCCGGGCGUGACAUGGGCACGGUGCGGUGUACAGUGGAGAGUGAUGCACAGAGACUGACCAGCAGACCCCUCACUCUGGUAGUGGUCCCAGUAGGAGGCUCACCAAAGGUGGAUGUGGAGUACCUUUACAGGGUUGAUUCCAAGAUGGCCGCCGCUCGUCUCCAAUGCCUCCUGAGCCUCGGGACAUUCCCUUUCUUCUCCUGGUCCCUCAACGGCUCCCUCCUCCUUCACCCCUCCGAGGGAGACUCCUCUCACCCCUCUCACGCCCUGGCGGACGGAGGGCGCACCCUAUUCCUCACCGAGAUCACCCUAGAGGACUCUGGGUAUUAUCGGUGCAGGGCAAGGGACAGUUAUGACGUAACGUCCGCUUGGGUGGAAAGCCAACCUGUCCUUGUGCAGGUCACAGAAGUUGCCACGACAACCAUAGAGGUCAUGGCCAUAGUAUUCUGCUGUUUCCUCAUGCUGACCCUGGCAGGGGGUGUGGCCUGUGUGAUGUGGAUGCUCAACCGCCAACGAGGUGGGUGUGUGUUCAGAAUAUGGUCAUUGUUCUUAAAUGUGUCACUCUCAGUCUUUCAUUCUCUCUCUCUCUCUCUCUCUGUCUCUCUCUCUCUCUCUCUCUCUCUCUCUCUCUCUCUCUCUCUCUCUCUCUCUCUCUCUCUCAGACGUUGUGGCAAGCAGCGAGCAGAGAGCGAGAGCAGCAAAGUGAGUCCUGUAUUUAUUUUAGUCUAUUGUAGGCCUACAGUGUUUUGA
ensembl:lncRNA